AGAACGAACGCUGGCGGCAUGCCUAACACAUGCAAGUCGAACGAUCUCUUCGGAGAUAGUGGCGCACGGGUGCGUAACGCGUGGGAAUCUGCCCUUGGGUUCGGAAUAACAGUUGGAAACGACUGCUAAUACCGGAUGAUGACGUUAAGUCCAAAGAUUUAUCGCCCAGGGAUGAGCCCGCGUAGGAUUAGCUAGUUGGUGAGGUAAAGGCUCACCAAGGCGACGAUCCUUAGCUGGUCUGAGAGGAUGAUCAGCCACACUGGGACUGAGACACGGCCAGACUCCUACGGGAGCAGCAGUGGGGAAUAUUGGACAAGUGGCGAAAGCCUGAUCCAGCAAUCGCCGCGUGAGUGAUG
rnacentral:rRNA from 1 species